rnacentral:rRNA from 1 species
UACAGAGGGUGCGAGCGUUAAUCGGAAUUACUGGGCGUAAAGCGCGCGUAGACGGUUUUGUAAGUCAGAUGUGAAAUCCCUGGGCUCAACCUGGGAACUGCAUUUGAAACUGCAUGGCUAGAGUAUGGAAGAGGGAAGUGGAAUUUCCGGUGUAGCGGUGAAAUGCGUAGAUAUCUGGAGGAACACCGGUGGCGAAGGCGGCAUCCUGGACCAAAUCUGACGCUGAGGAGCGAAAGCCAGGGGAGCAAACGGG